rnacentral:rRNA from 1 species
GUCUAUGGCCAUACCACCCUGAACGUGCCCGAUCUCAUCUGAUCUUGGAAGCUAUGCAGGGUCAGGUCUGGUUAGUAUAGUACUUGGACGGGAGACUUGGGUUAAAUAAUUCUAGAAGCUGCU